GGCUCCCCGUGACCUGAGAAGUUCAGAUAAGCGGUAGGAAAUGAAUGGAUGAAAGAAUCAGACAAAGAUUCAUUAAAGCAGGAGUUCAAACGGAUGGAACUAUCGUCUCCAAUUCUAAUUAGAAUUAUCGUUGCUAUAGUAACAGCUCGUUCACAGGGAAGGAGUCUGCAGUGUCAGAGCUGUGGACCAGUCAGUCAGAGGUGAAGGCUACACUUCUCUGCGGUUUGUUAAUAAAACAACAACAGGAAUAGAAAGACUUUUUCUUUUUUGUUACCUCCAGAAGAGAGGAAAAAGAGACGCUGGAGAGAGAACGAGUGUAACGUGCUGCAUUAAAGCAACAAAUCCUGUCUGCGAUGUCCACGACGUGUCGGAGCGCCGCGCCGCGAAGGAACUCAAUCCCGAGGUCCGAGCUGUAUCUCAGGGGCUUUUUCACCCGAGUCUCUUCUGGUGGGCAACCAGACGUCAUGCUGUAAUCUAAAGCCGGUCCUCGUUUCACACGGAUAGUAGUGAUUUGCGGCCGAGCCGAGACUCGUGCUAUGAGGAGAUGAUUGCAGAGCAGGAGAUGAGGAUGACAAGAAAAAUGGCAGAUUCUCUGAGGAACACGGCGAGCGUCUGGAUGCAGGGACUCAGAGCCUGUAGAAUAUUAUAGAAAUAUAAUUCUACAGAUACAGAUUCUAACGCUAACCCUAUAUGAUAUUUAUGGCUUUAUCGUAAUAACUAUCUAUUAAUUAUCAUGACAAACAUGACUACACAAUUUAUAUCUUUAUACAUGUUUCUUCUGUGAGGUUUUCUGUCAGGAGUCUCCAGUUUCAGUGUCAGUCUGUCUAGAUCUGCUGUAAUAUCAGAUAUUAAAUAGAAAUAAAACUAUAACUAUAAAUAAAAAGUGUCUUAUAGGAAAAUAAUCGACUAGAAAACACACCACAGGGCUGCAGUGAGACAAUAAAAAAGCUUCUUCAGC